AACCAGCUCUAACGCCAACCACCAACCGACAUGUGAGCCAAUCUCAACCAACCAAUAAGAGCGCAUCUCAGCCCGGCUGGAUUGGCUCCUCCUAUCAGAAUCACACGCCUUCCGAACAAUCAACGGCCACCGCUAAUAAAGGGCCUACAGUAACCAAGUCACCGGUGGUGGAACUGCUCGCUUCGGACCAGACCAACAAACUGGAACGCUUGGUCAGCAAUUUUGUGAGCGAGGACAGAGCGCGCCAAGCGGCCAACUCUCAACUAAAACGCUGCCCAGUUCCAUUCAGUUUGCGUUGCAGAAGUUCGAGCGUAAAGCAGCAGCUGGAGGUAAUACCGCAGGCCUACAACUGAAUCGGUCAACAGGCAACGGAGCAAACCGACCAACGCCCGUUGCAAAGCAACAGUUGCACAACCUUGCAACGCAACAGCAACCGUUGCACGGAUUUGCAACGCAACAGCAGCAGAAGUACAGCGGUGGUGAUACGGUGGAAGUGAUCUAUCCGAGUGAGGAGAAAACGUCGCCUGGUGUCGUCACUAACACUUGGCCGUUGAAGAACAAGAUCCAAGAUGGCGGAAAGCGGAAUAGUGGGGGGUAUGCUGGUGGUGGGGGAAGGGUGGAAUCUGGGCCGAGGUCACCCUCCAGUCACAGGCAUAGUAGUCAGGCUGAGUUUUUGGAUGAGGUU